UUACUUACCCGGACGGGGUCAAUGGGUGAUCAAGAAGGUCUAUGACCUAGGUUGGUGAUCCCUGCUGCACUUGGGAGUGGUACCAGUAUAAGAUUGGCUCAGGAGGUCAAGCCUAUGGCAUAAGAAC
rnacentral:snRNA from 10 species